UAACACGUGGGUAACCUGCCUGUAAGACUGGGAUAACUCCGGGAAACCGGAGCUAAUACCGGAUAGUUCCUUGAACCGCAUGGUUCAAGGAUGAAAGACGGUUUCGGCUGUCACUUACAGAUGGACCCGCGGCGCAUUAGCUAGUUGGUGAGGUAACGGCUCACCAAGGCGACGAUGCGUAGCCGACCUGAGAGGGUGAUCGGCCAUACUGGGACUGAGACACGGCCCAGACUUCUACGGGAGGCAGCAGUAGGGAAUCUUCCGCAAUGGACGAAAGUCUGACGGAGCAACGCCGCGUGAGUGAUGAAGGUUUUCGGAUCGUAAAGCUCUGUUGUUAGGGAAGAACAAGUGCAAGAGUAACUGCUUGCACCUUGACGGUACCUAACCAGAAAGCCACGGCUAACUACGUGCCAGCAGCCGCGGUAAUACGUAGGUGGCAAGCGUUGUCCGGAAUUAUUGGGCGUAAAGGGCUCGCAGGCGGUUUCUUAAGUCUGAUGUGAAAGCCCCCGGCUCAACCGGGGAGGGUCAUUGGAAACUGGG
rnacentral:rRNA from 1 species